rnacentral:rRNA from 1 species
UACGUAGGGUGCGAGCGUUGUCCGGAAUUAUUGGGCGUAAAGGGCUCGUAGGCGGUUUGUCACGUCGGGAGUGAAAACUCAGGGCUUAACCCUGAGCCUGCUUCCGAUACGGGCAGACUAGAGGUAUGCAGGGGAGAACGGAAUUCCUGGUGUAGCGGUGAAAUGCGUAGAUAUCGGAAGGAACAUCAGUGGCGAAAGCGGCUUCCUGGACCAGCACCGACGUUCAGGCACGAAAGCGUGGGGAGCAAACAGG